ACUGUAAAGGUAGAAACUUUUCCACAACUGCAGUGAGACGCAGUAACUUCCGAAACUACCGCUUGAGUAGGACCUUAGUGACAAGAUCUGUAAUAAAUGCUUCACAAGACGACAUAAUACUCUGGGGGAAAGGGUGGUGCUCCAGGGGAAUCAGAUCCGUCGCAGAUCUACGAUAUCAGAAAGUAGAUGCGGUGGUUCAUGGUUGAGAUGCGGCUGAGCGGGGAGGUUGAUACGGUGGUGAAAGGUGUUUGACAAAAGGUAGCGAAACCCUUGGUAACUGUGCCUGGGAGAAUAUUUUAAUCUCUCUGUUUAGCUUGACUUGUGUCUGUGGGGUUUAUUUCCAAUGAAUCUGUUUUAGAUUCAGUUUUUGUUUGAAGAUUCUUCAUAGCCUUAGACAUUAGUCAUUUUCUGCCUAAAGACUUUUUAAGCCGAUAGUAGUUUUUGUAAAGUCAUAGCCUUUGUCUAAAACGUUUUUUUAGCAAAGCCGUUGAUCUUUUCUAAGCCGUAGGUACUAAUGUAUAAUUGAACACUUUUGCAACCAACCUUUGUUUAAA